rnacentral:tRNA from 1 species
CCUUCGAUAGCUCAGCUGGUAGAGUGGAGGACUAUAGAUCCUGAGGUCCCUGGUUCGAUUCCGGCUCGAAGGA